AGCGAACGCUGGCGGCGUGCCUAACACAUGCAAGUCGAGCGCGGGCAUUUCGGGGGUAACCCCGGGAUGUGCUGAGCGGCGGACGAGUGAGUAAUACGUGGACAACCUGCCUUAAAGCUUGGGAUAACUCCGGGAAACUGGAGCUAAUACCGGAUAAGACCACGGUGUCUAUGGAUGCUGAGGUAAAAGGCGGCCAGGAAACUGGCUGUUGCUUAAAGAUGGGUCCACGUCCCANCAGGUAGUUGGUGAGGUAAAGGCUCACCAAGCCAAAGACGGGUAGCUGGCCUUAGCGGGUGGUCAGCCACACGGGGACUGAGACACGGCCCCGACUCCUACGGGAGGCAGCAGUGGGGAAUAUUGGGC
rnacentral:rRNA from 1 species